rnacentral:snRNA from 1 species
AGCUUUGCACAGUGGCAGUGUCAUAGCCAAUAAGGUUUAUCUGAGGCAUAAUUAUUACUAACUGAGAACUUCCCAAUACCCCACCAUGACAAUUUGAAAUAUAUUCAGCCCUGACAAUUUUUGACAGUUUUUAUGGAGA